GCACAAGCGGUGGAGCAUGUGGUUUAAUUCGAUGCAACGCGAAGAACCUUACCUGGGCUUGACAUCCCUGGAAUCCCCCUGGAAACAGGGAGUGCCCUUCGGGGAGCCAGGAGACAGGUGCUGCAUUGGCUGUCGUCAGCUCGUGUCGUGAGAUGUUGGGUUAAGUCCCGCAACGAGCGCAACCCUUGUCUUUAAUUGCCAUCAUUCAGUUUGGGCACUUUAAAGAGACUGCCGGUGUUAAACCGGAGGAAGGUGGGGAUGACGUCAAGUCCUCAUGGCCUUUAUGCCCAGGGCUACACACGUGCUACAAUGGGUGGUACAAAGAGAUGCAAUCUCGCAAGAGCAAGCAAACCUCAAAAAGCCAUCCUCAGUUCGGAUUGGAGUCUGCAACUCGACUCCAUGAAGUCGGAAUCGCUAGUAAUCGCGGAUCAGCACGCCGCGGUGAAUACGUUCCCGGGCCUU
rnacentral:rRNA from 1 species